AUUUAAUAGCAAGACAACAUUGAAUCUUAUUUUUUAACUUUUUUAUAUUAAAAUUUAAACAAAAAUAAUUUAAAUUAUUGUCAAUUUAAACAGUGAAUUUUUAAACAAAUUUUUAAUAAAAAUUAAAAACAAUUGUUAUUUUAAAUUAAUUUACACUCAGUAAAAGUGCAGUAGAUUUAAACAAUUAAUAAUGACUGUUGGACCAAAGACGAGCAUGGAAAUGAGUGUGUGUCAGCAACAUACCUUAAGGGAUUUAUUCUUACGUUAAGGAAAGAUGAAAAAACAGAAUUUGAAAUCAUGUGCUAAAACUCAAAGUGACUGAUUGCAUGGAAGUUGCCAACAUUUACACUCAAACAAAUACUUUUCCACAAAACAGAGUAAGAGUAAAAAAAAACAAUAAAAAUAAACUAUCUCGAAUUGCAACAAGAUGGAAGGAUAUAAAAAAUAAAAAGUUAAAAUACAGCAAAUAAAUACAACAAACAAUAACAGCAACUAGAGUUCAACAACAAAACAAACGAAGAUGUAACAAGUCUUAAUGUGUCAAAAAGAAACUUACACAUACAUUUUCAUUUAAACAAUUGUUUGUAAAAACGGCAAAGGGAAGUAAAAGGAACUAAAUACAGCAAAAGUAGAGAUAACACUUUACCGACAUAGACGCUCGCGUCUGCCAAACUAAAGCAGGGUUAAAUGCGAAAAAAAGCAGAAGGACGAAUACAGAAAGUGGCAUCAACAAAAGGAUUUAAUGCAUAUGUUACCGUUAUAUAUUUGUUUUUAUAGUAAAGUGAACAAAAGAGAGGGUGGCAAAAAAGGGUUAAAAUAAAACCUUAACUUCACAUGUUGUGGGAAUUUUGAUGUAUUAAAUGUGACAUUAUGGUUUUGUUGGUAUUCAACAUGUUUCAUUCAUUUCAUAUAUUUAUAUUUCUUUUAUUUUUAUCUUUAUCUUCAAACAUUUAUUCAUCAUAG